rnacentral:rRNA from 1 species
UCUCCCGGUGGAUCCCGCCGGACCCCGAAUGCUAUCAGAGGGGGAAUAAGCCAUGGGAGUCCACAUAGCAAUAUGUGGCAUACGGCUCAGUAACACGUAGUCAACAUGCCCAGGGGACGUGGAUAACCUCGGGAAACUGAGGAUAAACCGCGAUAAGUCACUACUUCUGGAAUGGGUAAUGACUCAAAUCUACAUGGCCCCUGGAUUGGACUGCGGCCGAUCAGGCUGUUGGUGAGGUAAUGGCCCACCAAACCUGUAACCGGUACGGGCUCUGAGAGGAGGAGCCCGGAGAUGGGCACUGAGACAAGGGCCCAGGCCCUAUGGGGCGCAGCAGGCGCGAAACCUCUGCAAUAGGCGAAAGCCUGACAGGGUUACUCUGAGUGAUUUCCGUUAAGGAGAUCUUUUGGCACCUCUAAAAAUGGUGCAGAAUAAGGGGUGGGCAAGUCUGGUGUCAGCCGCCGCGGUAAUACCAGCACCCCGAGUGGUCAGGACGUUUAUUGGGCCUAAAGCAUCCGUAGCCGGUUCUACAAGUCUUCCGUUAAAUCCACCUGCUUAACAGAUGGGCUGCGGAAGAUACUAUAGAGCUAGGAGGCGGGAGAGGCAAGCGGUACUCGAUGGGUAGGGGUAAAAUCCGUUGAUCCAUUGAAGACCACCAGUGGCGAAGGCGGCUUGCCAGAACACGCUCGACGGUGAGGGAUGAAAGCUGGGGGAGCAAACCGGAUUAGAUACCCGGGUAGUCCCAGCUGUAAACGAUGCAGACUCGGUGAUGAGUUGGCUUCUUGCCAACUCAGUGCCGCAGGGAAGCCGCUUAUUUUGCCCCCUGGGGAAUACGGUCGCAAGACUGAAACUUUAAAGGAAUUGGGCGGGGGAAC